rnacentral:lncRNA from 1 species
AUGUGCUUGUCUGGUCGUAGAAACACAGGGGGCGACCAAAGCUCCCUCAUGAACCCUAGCUUUGCAAUUUCACCAAAUUGACAGGGUAAAUCGGCUCCAAAUCGAAAUCCAAACUCAGAAUAGUGAUCACCUUCGGGAAAGGAUCAUAAGGUAUGCCUAAUUUUGCUAUUUAGUUUCACCAUGAGUUCUAGGCACGGUAGUUGAAUCUUCAAGCGGUCAAGUCGGAGCGGACGCACGCUUGAAGGAUAUGCUUUGAAAGGAAUAAAUAUCAAAUGGAUACACACAUCGCUAUUGCUUAGCGGCUACUAAGUCAAGAUAUAAUUUUAGCACCGGAGGACGAUCAAGCACAACGAAGAACCGAACUCGAUCAUGAAAUAAGCUUCCGCACUAUGUAUCGUUGUUAUGUGAAUUGACGAACUCACACAUGUAUGUUGUAAAGUUUUAAUUCUAUAAUAAAGUUUAAUGAAACCC